rnacentral:rRNA from 1 species
UACGAGGGGGCUAGCGUUGCUCGGAAUUACUGGGCGUAAAGCGCACGUAGGCGGAUCUUUAAGUCAGGGGUGAAAUCCUGGAGCUCAACUCCAGAACUGCCUUUGAUACUGAGGACCUUGAGUUCGGGAGAGGUGAGUGGAACUGCGAGUGUAGAGGUGAAAUUCGUAGAUAUUCGCAAGAACACCAGUGGCGAAGGCGGCUCACUGGCCCGGUACUGACGCUGAGGCACGGAAGCGUGGGGAGCAAACAGGG